rfam:Schistosoma mattheei strain Denwood, Zambia genome assembly, scaffold: SMTD_contig0006232
GCACUGCUGAAGAGUCCCGGAAUAAAACGAAACGACCGUCAAGUGC